rnacentral:rRNA from 1 species
GUUGAACGCUGGCGGCGUGCCUUAUACAUGCAAGUCGAGCGAACAGACGAGGAGCUUGCUCCUCUGACGUUAGCGGCGGAUGGGUGAGUAACACGUAGAUAACCUACCUAUAAGACUAGGAUAACUUAGGGCAACCGGAGCUAGUACAGGAUAAUAUAUUGAACCGCAUGGUUCAAUAGUGAAAGACGGUUUUGAUCUCACUUAUAGAUGGACCCGCGCCGCAUUAGCAAGUUGGUAGGGUAACGGCUUACCAAGGCGACGAUGCGUAGCCGACCUGAGAGGAUGACCGGCCACACUGGAACUGAGACACGGUCCAGACUCCUACGGGAGGCAGCAGUGGGGAAUCUUGCACAAUGGGCGAAAGCCUGAUGGAGCAAUGCCGCGUGAGUGAUGAAGGUCUUCGGAUUGUAAAGCUCUUUUGUUAGGAAAGAAAAGAAGUGUGAGAAUCUAUCGGCUUCAUGACGGUACCUACACAGUAAGCCCCGGCUAACUACGUG